UCAUUAGCGGUGCAUAUAAAUAUAGGAGACAUGAGCUCAUAUAUCUAGUGCUCUAAAGAAAAACAAAGAUUUCACAACAAACUUAAAAAUGGCACACGUUAUUUCCGAUCCCACGUCGUUGAUUUAUAUAGGACUCUUGUCUCUACUCAUAGAGUCUCUAUUGACUCAUUACAAAUUGAGAAAUUGGGGAUCUGACUCGUAUUCAGGUCAUUAUACUCUAACUAGAUGGCUUCGAGCUAUUUGUGGCUGUCUGACUUUAUAUGCUCUCUGGGUGAAUCGGCACAUUUCUUGGAUUUCUUCCACUAAGGUUUUAGCGUUGGCUGUCUUGUUCUGUCUUGGAAUUAUUAUUCAACCGAAAUUCAAAUUCUUGUUUGAAUUGAACACACACCGACAUACUUUUUGGAAUGGAUAUUUCAGUUUAUUUUCAAUUUUUUCGAGUUUAAUAUUUGCAACAUUUUCUCCAUAUGCUUAUCUUAUCAUCUUGUAUCGGAUAGCGAUUUUUGCUCACAUAAUUUAACAAAAUGUGUAUAUAUUUAACUUUUUAUAAAAUAAAAAAAAAUUGUAUUUUUUAAUUUGUUUUAUAAAUAUUACAUUAAAUUAAAGAUGACCAGCUCGAAUGGUCACUUCUCAGAGUCUAA